GAUGAACGCUGGCGGCGUGCCUAAUACAUGCAAGUCGAGCGAACGGACGAGAAGCUUGCUUUUCUGAUGUUAGCGGCGGACGGGGGAGUAACACGUGGAUAACCUACCUAUAAGACUGGGAUAACUUCGGGAAACCGGAGCUAAUACCGGAUAAUAUUUUGAACCGCAUGGUUCAAAAGUGAAAGACGGUCUUGCUGUCACUUAUAGAUGGAUCCGCGCUGCAUUAGCUAGUUGGUAAGGUAACGGCUUACCAAGGCAACGAUGCAUAGCCGACCUGUGAAGGUGAUCGGCCACCCUGGAUCAGUGGAAGGGUCCUGACGUCUACGAGAGGCACCAGUAGGGAAUGUUCCGCGAUUGACGAAAGCCUGACGGAGCAACGCCGCGUGAGUGAUGAAGGUCUUCGGAUCGUAAAACUCUGUUAUUAUGGAAGAACAUAUGUGUAAGUAACUGUGCACAUCGUGACGGUACCUAAUCAGAAAGCCACGGCUAGCUACGUG
rnacentral:rRNA from 1 species